AUCCAGAAACCAAGAAUUAAAAGCGGCAAAGACAUUCGAUAGAUUGAUGACUAAAAUUGAGACAUUGUUUAAAAUAUAUGUGUGUGAUGGACCGAGUUAAAAACAGGAGGAGUCACAGGACAUAUUAGAAAAUAGGGUUUUUUAUUUUAACCCAAAGAUUAUAAAUAACAAAAGAUAAACUGAGCUCAUAAAAGAGGUCAAAGAAACAAAACUGAACUCAGGCAAAAAAUGUAAACAAACUGGCUGCACAAACAAACAUAACUGACCUAACAAAGAAAUGACACACAGGGUUUAUAUACUGGUUGAUCAGACCAGAUAAGACACAAUAGGGGUAACUAAACAGAAUACAACUACAAAUGACACAAAACAAAUAACAGUACAGCUAAGUUUGGCUAAACUAAAUACCCAAAACUGAAAAUCAAAAAUAUUAAACUUUAAAUACUAAUAUUUACUUAAAUACAAAACUUAUCUAAAGAAAGAAACUACAAAUUCCCCCUGCCAGCAGGAACUAGUGGUUCAGUCCAAUCAGCAUGCUGAGCCCUGGCCCCCAUCCUCUGUCUGGUAACUCCAAGGCAGGUAAUUACCGACAGAGUGUGGCCAUGGAUUUGGCCAUCACAAUGUGGUACCAAGGAUUAUUGAGCCAUUCAAAGUCACUCUCUCAACUAUUAAAAAUGUUAUUAUCCGUGGUUCAAAUAUGCUGUGUAGUGCGGCAGCGAUACGUUACAUUUUUCAUGUAAUACCAAUAAUGGCCAAAAGGUGGCAGUAGUGGCGAGUGAGGGAGAGACUGACUUUAAAGCCUAACGCUGAAGAAGAUCAGUAUAACACAAACAGCGAAGCCGCUACUAACUUUGUGAUUUCUGUA